rnacentral:rRNA from 1 species
GGGCUUGACAUGACCAGGAUCCCGGCGGAAACGCCGGUUCCCCGCAAGGGGCCUGGCCACAGGUGUUGCAUGGCUGUCGUCAGCUCGUGUCGUGAGAUGUUGGGUUAAGUCCCGCAACGAGCGCAACCCUUAUUCUAUGUUGCCAGCACGUAAUGGUGGGGACUCGUAGGAGACUGCCGGGGUCAACUCGGAGGAAGGUGGGGACGACGUCAAGUCAUCAUGCCCCUUAUGUCCAGGGCUGCAAACACGCUACAAUGGCCGGUACAAAGGGCUGCAAGCUCGUGAGAGUAAGCGAAUCCCAUAAAGCCGGUCUCAGUUCGGAUUGCAGUCUGCAACUCGACUGCAUGAAGUUGGAAUCGCUAGUAAUCCCAGAUCAGCAUGCUGGGGUGAAUACGUUCCC